AUUAGCUAGUUGGUGAGGUAAUGGCUCACCAAGGCGAUGAUACGUAGCCGAACUGAGAGGUUGAUCGGCCACAUUGGGACUGAGACACGGCCCAAACUCCUACGGGAGGCAGCAGUAGGGAAUCUUCCACAAUGGACGCAAGUCUGAUGGAGCAACGCCGCGUGAGUGAAGAAGGCUUUCGGGUCGUAAAACUC
rnacentral:rRNA from 1 species